AGGUCUUUGAGAGCUGGAUGCACCAUUGGCUCCUGUUUGAAAUGAGCAGGCACUCCUUGGAGCAAAAGCCCACUGACGCUCCACCGAAAGAGUCACUGGAACUGGAGGACCCGUCUUCUGGGCUGGGUGUGACCAAGCAGGAUCUGGGCCCAGUCCCCAUGUGAGAGCAGCAGAGGCGGUCUUCAACAUCCUGCCAGCCCCACACAGCUACAGCUUUCUUGCUCCCUUCAGCCCCCAGCCCCUCCCCCAUCUCCCACCCUGUACCUCAUCCCAUGAGACCCUGGUGCCUGGCUCUUUCGUCACCCUUGGACAAGACAAACCAAGUCGGAACAGCAGAUAACAAUGCAGCAAGGCCCUGCUGCCCAAUCUCCAUCUGUCAACAGGGGCGUGAGGUCCCAGGAAGUGGCCAAAAGCUAGACAGAUCCCCGUUCCUGACAUCACAGCAGCCUCCAACACAAGGCUCCAAGACCUAGGCUCAUGGACGAGAUGGGAAGGCACAGGGAGAAGGGAUAACCCUACACCCAGACCCCAGGCUGGACAUGCUGACUGUCCUCUCCCCUCCAGCCUUUGGCCUUGGCUUUUCUAGCCUAUUUACCUGCAGGCUGAGCCACUCUCUUCCCUUUCCCCAGCAUCACUCCCCAAGGAAGAGCCAAUGUUUUCCACCCAUAAUCCUUUCUGCCGACCCCUAGUUCCCUCUGCUCAGCCAAGCUUGUUAUCAGCUUUCAGGGCCAUGGUUCACAUUAGAAUAAAAGGUAGUAAUUAG
rnacentral:lncRNA from 1 species